rnacentral:rRNA from 1 species
GACGAACGCUGGCGGCGUGCUUAAUACAUGCAAGUCAACUGAACUUGAGGUAGCAAUAUCACAAGAGAGGUGGCGCACGGGUGAGUAACACGUAGGUAAUCUGCCUUUAGGUCUGACAUAAUUCCGCGAAAGCGGGACUAAUAUCAGAUGAUGCAGCGGCUCGACAUCGAGACAGUUGUUAAACCUUCGGGGCCUAAAGAUGAGCCUGCGUCNGAUUAGGUAGUUGGCGGAGUAAAAGCCCACCAAGCCUGCGAUCAGUAGC